rnacentral:rRNA from 1 species
AUUGAACGCUGGCGGCGUGCUUAACACAUGCAAGUCGAGCGGAGCGGCGAACGGGUGAGUAACGCGUGAGUAACUGCCCCCCUCUCUGGGAUAACAGUUGGAAACGGCUGCUAAUACCGGUUAGUGGGGGAUGACUCGCGUCCUAUCAGCUUGUUGGGUGGGUAGUGGCCUCCCAAGGCGACGACGGGUAGCCGGCCUGAGAGGGCGACCGGCCAAAUUGGGCUGAGGUACGGCCCAAACUCCUACGGGCGGCAGCAGUGGGGAAUAGUGAACAAUGGGGGGAACCCUGAUGCAGCAAGGUGCGGGCGGGAUGACGGCGUUCGGGUUGUAAACCGCUUUCAGCCAUGACGCGGUAGUGGCAGAAGAAGCACCGGCUAACUACGUGCCAGCAGCCGCGGUAAUUC